rnacentral:rRNA from 1 species
CUAAUACAUGCAAGUCGUACGCUGAAGCGCUCUGCUUGCAGAGCGCGGAUGAGUGGCGAACGGGUGAGUAACACGUGGGCAACCUGCCUGUAAGAUCGGGAUAACUCCGGGAAACCGGGGCUAAUACCGGAUAACCCGUGCCUCCUCCUGGAGGCGCGUUGAAAGGCGGCUUCGGCUGUCGCUUACAGAUGGGCCCGCGGCGUAUUAGCUUGUUGGUGGGGUAACGGCCCACCAAGGCGAUGAUACGUAGCCGACCUGAGAGGGUAAUCGGCCACACUGGGACUGAGACACGGCCCAGACUCCUACGGGAGGCAGCAGUAGGGAAUCUUCCGCAAUGGACGAAAGUCUGACGGAGCAAUGCCGCGUGAGUGAAGAAGGUCUUCGGAUCGUAAAGCUCUGUUGCCGGAGAAGAACAAGGACAGUAGUAACUGGCUGUCCCUUGACGGUAUCCGGCCAGAAAGCCACGGCUAACUACGUGCCAGCAGCCGCGGUAAUACGUAGGUGGCAAGCGUUGUCCGGAUUUAUUGGGCGUAAAGCGAGCGCAGGCGGUCCUUUAAGUCUGAUGUGAAAGCCCACGGCUCAACCGUGGAAGGUCAUUGGAAACUGGGGGACUUGAGUGCAGAAGAGGAAAGUGGAAUUCCAUGUGUAGCGGUGAAAUGCGUAGAUAUAUGGAGGAACACCAGUGGCGAAGGCGAC